UGGGGAAUAUUGCACAAUGGGGGAAACCCUGAUGCAGCAACGCCGCGUGAAGGAUGAAGGUCUUCGGAUUGUAAACUUCUAUCGAUGGGGAAGAAUUUUGACGGUACCCAGGUAAGAAGCCCCGGCUAACUACGUGCCAGCAGCCGCGGUAAUACGUAGGGGGCAAGCGUUAUCCGGAUUUACUGGGUGUAAAGGGUGAGUAGGCGGCUUUAAUAGUCACAUGUGAAAUCCCAAGGCUUAACCUUGUGGACUGCAUGAGAAACUUUAGAGCUAGAGUACAGGAGAGGUAAGCGGAAUUCCUAGUGUAGCGGUGAAAUGCGUAGAUAUUAGGAAGAACACCGGUGGCGAAGGCGGCUUACUGGACUGAAACUGACGCUGAGUCACGAAAGCGUGGGGAGCGAACA
rnacentral:rRNA from 1 species